rnacentral:lncRNA from 1 species
CCUGAAUUUCUCCCUCCCUCCGCCUCCAAUCCCAACGAGGACCGUGGGGAAGUUUGAUAAACGGCAUCAUUAGCCCUUGAGAAGCAAAAGCUUCUCUGAGCCCUUGAUUAGGUGCCAGCAUCUAUUGGGAAUUCUCACCAGAUUGCUCACCUUCAAAUUCUGGGCGCUGUGUGUAAGUAGAAGACAUUUUGAUAUCUCUCGGAGGGAUUUUAGGAUUACACCACCAGUUAGUUGUCAGACUAACUUUGAAAGUGUCUGUGGUUAUAGCUUGCUUGCAUCUGAUUAUUCCAACCAGGUGAUCAUGAUCUUCCGAAGCCCUUUUACUUUAAUAUUGGUUAGAAACCUGUCCUGGGACUGGGAUCCCAAGAAGCGAUAGGAAGGCUUUUUAUCAUUGGGCACAUGCUGGUUGUGUGCCCCAGACACUGCUCUUUUCUUCAGACACAAGGUACCCGUUAUUGAUGUGCAAGCAAGAAUAGCAGAACUCUUUAACUAUUGGUACCUGUGGUCAUCCCAAAAGUCCUGUGGGCAUCUCUCCUGGGUUCCCUCCUGGCUUACUUAAAGGGAUGAAAUCUUCUUUCUCCACACUGUUACAGCUUGGUUAAUGGAUGUGGCCUUGUUCUUUUUGCACAUAGACAAUGAUUAGGAGUUAAGAUUAUUUGUAUAAGGCAGGCAAAUAGGUGCCCCAGAGCCAGGACAGAGGUGAUAGGGUAGCAGAAAGGCCACAUGAAUUACCCCUGUUGAGUAUCAUACCAGGGUUCAAGAGGGAUUGGUGAGGGUUGAGACUUUGGUUGGCCAUUGUUCAGGUCAACCUGAACAGGACUGUUCAUUGGAC